CCCUAUCCCCCUGUUGNGCCUUGCCUCCCCAGACCUACCGCGUCAGAUUAGCUAGUGCAGGGUAACGGCCUACAAGGCGACGAUCUGUAGCCGGCUGAGAGGUCGACCGGCCACAGUUGGGACUGAGACGACCGGACCAAACUCCGUACGGGAGGCAGCAGGUGGGAAUAUGCACAGUACGGGGAAACCUGAUGCAGCGACGCCGCGUGAGACGAAGAAGUUAGUUUCGGUAUAGGUAAGGCUCUAUCAGCGAAGGAAAAGUAAGGAAGAAUUAGCCAAGGUUGAUUCUGACUGGAACAAACAUUUUAUCAGAGAGUUUGAUCCUGGCUCAGGAUGUCGACGCGGCCG
rnacentral:rRNA from 1 species